CCUACGGUGGGCUGCAGUGAGGAAUAUUGGUCAAUGGGAGAGAUCCUGAACCAGCCAAGCCGCGUGAGGGAAGACGGCCCUAUGGGUUGUAAACCUCUUUUGUCGGAGAACAAAACCCGGGACGUGUCCCGGACUGCGUGUAUCCGAAGAAAAAGCAUCGGCUAACUCCGUGCCAGCAGCCGCGGUAAUACGGAGGAUGCGAGCGUUAUCCGGAUUUAUUGGGUUUAAAGGGUGCGUAGGCGGUCCGUUAAGUCAGCGGUAAAAUUGCGGGGCUCAACCCCCGAACUGCAUUUGAAACUGUUGGUCUUGAGUAUCGGAGAGGCAGGCGGAAUUCCUAGUGUAGCGGUGAAAUGCGUAGAUAUUAGGAGGAACACCAGUGGCGAAGGCGGCCUGCUGGACGACAACUGACGGUGAGGCGCGAAAGCGUGGGGAGCAAACAGGAUUAGAUACCCCUGUAGUC
rnacentral:rRNA from 1 species